GACAAAGCGCGGAACUGGAGACAUCAUUAAAGUAUUAGUGGAAAGUUAUUUGCAAAACAUAUGUUUUCAUUGAACAAAAUGCUUGGCCUCAAUAGUGUCUUGUAAGAGUUACAAUAUUUUAAUAUGCACUGAGAGCAUCCACAUACACACGCACAUAGAACCAAAAGGUAGAUUGCCAAACAGCCUCACAAAAGAUAGCACAGCUGCAAUUUAACUCAGUUCCAAACCUGAUAAUUGUUCGGUUAUCUGUAUGGUUUUAUACUCAUUUCCAACAGAAUCUGCCAAUCUGGCUCAAUGAUAUGCAAUAAGUCAACACACAUAUGCACACUAGCUAUGAAACUCUUCACUCAUAAUAAUAAUCUUUAUAAGACAGCCAUCUAGAAUGGGAUAUUGUUCAGUGCAAUGGAAAAAGUCCCAUACCAUCAAGUGUAAGUGCAGAGUUACAGAUCAUAGAACAGCAACUUCAAGCAAAAUAGCUAAAGGACAAGUCUAGAGCCAGAUCAGCCUCUCAAGACCUUUAGCCUAUGAGAAGAAAAUCAUUAACCACACCCUUGUUUCCAAUAUGGUUACAAUGCUGGAUCUAUAACAAAUGCCUGACAAUUACCAUCUCCUUGAAC
rnacentral:misc_RNA from 1 species